UACAGAGGUCUCAAGCGUUGUUCGGAUUCAUUGGGCGUAAAGGGUGCGUAGGCGGCGCGGUAAGUCGGGUGUGAAAUCUCGGAGCUUAACUCCGAAAACUGCAUUCGAUACUCGCCGUGCUUGAGGACUGGAGAGGAGACUGGAAUUUACGGUGUAGCGGUGAAAAUGCGUAGAUAUCGUAAGGAAGACCAGUGGCGAAAGGCGGGUCUCUGGACAGUUCCUGACGCUGAGGCACGAAGGUCAGGGGGAGCAAACGGG
rnacentral:rRNA from 1 species